GCCUUUGUGGCGCAGUGGUCAGCACGCUCGGCACGUAUUCGAGAGGUCCGUGGUUCGAGUCCCGGCCAGGGCA
rnacentral:tRNA from 1 species